AUACUUACCUGCGAGGCAGUCAACGCGAUCACGACAGGCGGUUCCGCCUAGGCGAGGUUUAGUCAUGCACCCAGACUAGAUUGACACUAGAGAUUAUCCCCAAUGUGGAUAACUCGUCGUGUAAUUUUCUGCUAGUGGGACUGCGUUCGCGCUAUCCUUU